rnacentral:rRNA from 1 species
UACAGAGGGUGCAAGCGUUAAUCGGAAUUACUGGGCGUAAAGCGUGCGCGGUCGGUUAUUUAAGUCGGGCGUGAAAGCCCCGGGCUCAACCUGGGAAUUGCGUUCGAUACUGGAUAGCUAGAGUUCGGCAGAGGGAAGCGGAAUUUCGGGUGUAGCGGUGAAAUGCGUAGAUAUCCGAAGGAACAUCAGUGGCGAAGGAGGCUUCCUGGACCAGAACUGACGAUCAGGCACGAAAGCGUGGGGAGCAAACAGG